AUCAUAUGAUCUAGCUAUUCUUCACUAUGUUUUUUUUUCAGGGGAUUUCAUUUAUUUGAUAAAAAAACUUCUUCUAAAUCUAUGCUGUGGUUUUGUCUGAUUGAAUCACAGAUCUUCUUUGAUCAGAUGCACAAUGCUAUUUUAAGGUCUCAUAAAUAAAUAACUUUGUAGCUUAGAGUGAAACACUGCCAAUUAUGUCAUGUGUUGCAUAGGAUGUCAAUAUAGUGACUCUAAUAAUGAAUCCUGCUAAUUCAUUGAAAUGACUUCAUAGCUUUUUUUUUUUUUUUUUUUUUUUUUUUUUUUGAGAAACGACUUCAUAGCUUAAUAAUGGACAAAGUUGAUAAUGUUAUUUAUAAAUAUAGUUUGUCAAGUUCAUUAGUUUGAACUUUCAUCAACCACCUAGGGCUAUAAAUGAACCAACCUGUUUACUAACAGCUCUGGCUCAGCUCAAAAUUUUUUUUUUUCCCUCUGUCUAUCGAAAAAAAUGUUACUUUAUUUGGCGAAUGAGCCAAGCUCGAGCAUAAGUUUAAGCUCAGCUAUUAAACAAGCCAUCCUCAAAUGUAAUAAUGUGUUUGUGAACAAGCUUGUGAACAUAGCUACCAUGAAAUCUCCUUUGAAGUCGAACAAUGAUACCAGUACAAUACCGGAAUAUUGAUCAUGUUCAUAUAAAGCACCAUCAAUGUUUACCUUUUACCAAUCCAAGGGAGGGGGCUUCCAAGAACAUCCCUGAUUGAUACUGAAAGGUUGGGCCUGCGUUAUCAUAGGACAUAAUCCACACAAUAACACUUUCACUUCACUAUGUAUCUGCAGUGGUAAACCACUUCCAUCCUCAUGAACUAUGCUGUUCAUGUUUUUCCACGGUGCCCUAGCUAUACAUAAGAAAGAUCCCACUGCCUCUGAAUUGAAGAAUUUGAAUUCAUAAUCUGCACAGCAAGGUCAGUAAAAUCCUCCAUCUGGCCAUCCAAUAGCGACAGAUUCCCUAUAUUCCAUACAGCUUCUGCAAUUGGGCAGCAACUUCACAGCCUCUAAACAAGUGUUCUAUGGUUUCAUAAUGUUUAUUACACAACUUGCACAAAGGAUUAAGGAUUAAACCUCUUGAACCCAGCACGUGAGCCGUGGGUAGACUAUCAUGGAGACAAAGCCAUAUAAGAAAUUGAAUCCUUGGGAGUGUUUCAGACUUCCAAACCCAUUUAAAUGACAAAGUUUCCAGGUUCAGGGGGUUUAACUUUGUUCUUGAUAAGGUCCAAAGUAAGCUAGCUGGGUGGAAGUCUAGAUUGCUGUCUAAAGUAGGAAGAUUAGUGCUUGCCAAAUCUGUUGUUGCCCCCAUUGCAGAGUAUUACAUGUAGUGCCACAACCUCCCAGCUAAAGUGUGUGAUUCCUUUGAUAAAAUGAUGAGGGAUUUCAUCUGGGGGUCAACUGAGGAAAGAAGAAGAAUGCAUAUGGUUAGGUGGAGUACUGUUACACUGCCCAAAGAGUUGGGAGGUUUGGGGCUUUAUUCAAUGAAGCAUAGGAAUGAAGUCAUUCUAGCCAAACUUUGUUGGAGGCUUGCUCAUGAGGAAGGGAAGCCUUGGGCAAAUAUGUUGUUAGCAAAAUACCUCUGCCCCAGUAGAUUGACUGAAGAAGGAAGAAAAUUGCCCUGCUCUCGGAUUUGGGUAGCUUGCUAAAAGGGAGGGCCGAUCUAUGUUAAAGGCUUGAGAUGGACUGUUAGGAAUGGUGAUUCUGUGAAUAUGUGGAUGGAUUUUUGGUUACCUAAUGGGAGAUUAAGGGAGCUUAUUGUUGGUCCCCUGAACUGUGGAGAAGAAGUGUUGACCGUUAGACAAUGUUUUGAUGAAAACCAUGGUUGGCUGCCUUCAAGCAUCUCCUUUGAGCUCCCAGCAAGUGUGCUUGGCACCAUUAAGGCCACACCCUUCUCUUAUAUUCCUCAAGCUAAUGAUAGUCUAAUGUGGGCCUAUUCCAAAAAUGGCUCUUUCACUAUACAAGCUGCUUACCUCAGUACACAAUUAUUACUUCACAUUUCAUGGUACCCACUUUCUUUAAUUAAAACAUAAAAAUUGUGAAAUGAUGUUUUUAAAACAUAAUUUCACAGUUUUAAUUGAAAUUGAAAUAUAAUUUCAAAACAAGGAAUGCACGAUAUAUAUUUUCAAAAUUUGAAAAGCAAGAAAUCAUGGGUUCACUUUUUUUUUUUUUUUUUACUCCAACAAAACCAAAAUGGUUUUGGCAUAAACCCCAUGAAAUUUCUCUCUCUCUCUCUCUCUCUCUCUCGAUCAGAGAGAAAUUCGAACCCUAGAUUUCUCUCUCAAUUAGAGAGAAAUUUCAUGGCAUAAAUAAACCCCAUGAAAUUUCUCUCUCUCAACAAAACCAAAACGGUUUUGGUACGUUUGGAGGGAGAGAGGACUUGGACUUUGCUUUUGAUGAUUGCAUUUCUGCCUUUUUCUGCUAGACCAGGAAGGAAGCACUUUUUAGCGUUGAAGAAAGAUAUUGGGUAUUCUCUCUACUACACAUUUGCUUUUACUUGUAUAUGGUUAUCAACUACUAUGGACUGAAGUUCACUCACCGCUUCUAUAACUUACCAAUAAAAACAUGGCUGUUGUACAUUUUUCGCUUUGAAAUAUACGAGGCAUCAAACAUAUUUGGGGUUUGGGUUUCAAAUUUGCAUCAUAGUGGUUGUUGUAGUUUGUUUGGGGUUAUGGUUUCAAUCUUUGUUAAAUAUGCAUAUUUAUUGCAUGCCUUUUUUCAUGUUUGAGAUAGGGCUUUUAAAGUUUAAACUGUAACUUUUGUAUUAGGUUCAUCUCCAUUUGAAAUGGGUUUAUUUCGUGGUUUUUAUUAAAUAUUACGAAUCUAAAGAUGUAACGAGUGCCAUUCCAUAA